UAACAACCGAUGAGCAAGAGUAGUAGCUUUGACGACAUAUUUACAGAGAGUCACGGACGGUGGAACCGUGAUAAUAUCCGUCUCAGUGAAUGGACUUGCGAGGGCAAACCAAAAUGACGCGCACCGCGUCAGAGUAGGGGCGACGGAAUCCAACCGUUAUCAUAUGGAGCAUGUAUGAUCGUACAUGGCUGAGCGCAUUCUUUUUAUUGUUGCAGAAAGAAUGAAUUUAGGUGGCACCGCAGGAAUCCACUCCUGUCCUAAUG
rnacentral:ncRNA from 1 species